GCUGUAGCUCAAGGGUAGAGCGCUGGGCCAUUCCUGUGAUGCCGUGGUGGGCGGAGGAAACCAGAGGAUGCCGGUUCGAAUCCGGUCAGC
rnacentral:tRNA from 1 species